rnacentral:rRNA from 1 species
CGUCCUAUUAGCUAGUUGGUGAGGUAAUGGCUCACCAAGGCUACGAUGGGUAGGGGUUCUUAGUGGAAGGUCCCCCACACUGGCGCUGAGAUACGGGCCAGACUCCUACGGGAGGCAGCAGUAGGGAAUAUUGGUCAAUGGGCGCAAGCCUGAACCAGCCAUGCCGCGUGCAGGAUGAAGGCUCUCUGAGUUGUAAACUGCUUUUGUACGGGAGCAAAAAAAUCCCUGCGGGGGUUCUUGAGAGUACUGUAAGAAUAAGCACCGGCUAAUUCCGUGCCAGCAGCCGCGGUAAUACGGGAGGUGCAAGCGUUAUCCGGUUUUAUUGGGUUUAAAGGGUGCGUAGGCGGCUUAUUAAGUCAGUUGUGAAAUCCUAGUGCUUAACGCUAGAACUGCGAUUGAUACUAUU